rnacentral:rRNA from 1 species
CCUACGGGAGGCAGCAGUGAGGAAUAUUGGUCAAUGGACGCAAGUCUGAACCAGCCAUGCCGCGUGCAGGAAGAAUGCCCUAUGGGUUGUAAACUGCUUUUAUUUGGGAAUAAACCCCUCUACGUGUAGAGGGCUGAAUGUACCAAACGAAUAAGGACCGGCUAACUCCGUGCCAGCAGCCGCGGUAAUACGGAGGGUCCAAGCGUUAUCCGGAAUCAUUGGGUUUAAAGGGUCCGCAGGCGGACCUAUAAGUCAGUGGUGAAAUCCCGUAGCUUAACUACGGAACUGCCAUUGAUACUGUAGGUCUUGAAUUCGGUCGAAGUGGGCGGAAUAUGUCAUGUAGCGGUGAAAUGCUUAGAUAUGACAUAGAACACCGAUAGCGAAGGCAGCUCACUAGGCCUGGAUUGACGCUCAGGGACGAAAGCGUGGGGAGCGAACAGGAUUAGAUACCCUGGUAGUCCACGCCGUAAACUAUCAAUACUCGUUUUCGGCGAUAUAAUGUCGGAGACUAAGCGAAAGUGAUAAGUAUUGCACCUGGGGAGUACGAUCGCAAGGUUGAAACUCAAAUGAAUUGACGGA